GAGAGCAGUGAAGGAAAAACUUUUACACAAUUCAAGAUAAAAGCCUCGUCGAGGCGAUCGUUUCAGAUUACAACGUACACAUGCAACGUUAUUUUUCUACCGUUGCAGCCGUUAAUAUCGUGAAAAUCCCGACAUGUUCGCGCCGAACAAUUUAUAUACAGAGCCGGCGCGCACCAUUUUUCGCCUGCGAAUUUUCCAACGUGUUCGAGGUGAAUUUUUCGACGGACGGAAACACGCCGGCGCAGCUCAUUUAUUACAAUUUUUCAAUUUUCUUGCUGUUUAAACGUCAUCGUGGACGACUAAUUCUCGAAUUAGCGCGUUUGUUUGAUUAAAAUCUAAAAUAACGCGGGAAAUAUUGGCUUUUUCGGACUUCGGCCCGUGUUUUCGAAUUUCGGCCUCAACGAAGCGAUUGAACCAUAAAAGGGAGUGCUUCAUUUUCAGAAACGAAGGACAACUGAUUGACAACCAACAACAACUGGUGGUGUAUAAUGAAAAAAAAACGUUCUAUCUCAAGGGAAUACACGUUGACUACGGUUUUAGUUGAACCAGGCCGCCACGCUCGUAUGGUAAACCUGCCAGUAGUAGGCCGCAGGAUGCAACGGUUCACGAGAUCCCGAUUUGCCACGACUCGACGGCACGAUGACGUAUACACGAGAAUAUACCGAUCUCUGAAUUGAUUUGAUCGUACAGAAUGUUUGUCGCCAUCCGUAUAAAGGCGUGAGUGUUCGAUCACGUCGGCGCCCGCCUCAUAGUCGGGCUUUAUCAUGCAAAUACGGCAUCGACACUCGGUUGUUGUGACGAUGAAAAAUAGAUUUAUCAAGGUGCUGCUGCGCGACACGCCUAAUAAAAUUGUCAAGAUCGCAAAAAUACGCGCGAAUGUGUUUCUGUGUUUCCUCGAGCCCCGCCAUAACGAUACGCAAACGCAUGUGCAAAUAUUUAAUGUUGAACGUGUAAAAUGUAAUCGCGAUCUCAUGGUGGUAUAUUAACCAGAUAGAAUUCUCGGACGAGUAACGGGAUGCGACACGGAACGCAGGACAAUGAGGACGAACGGUGGACCAAGCCAGACGAGAAAUGUUAUUCCACAUCCGGCCGUCCCAAAGAAUGACGUCUAAUCGGAUUGUAAUUAAGGGGGUUCCAUUGUCAGGCGCGUCCCGGCAUUAGGACGCUUAUCCGUACGAUUCCGCCCCGGCGAAGGACAAUUUUACCUGUUGAGACUGUCUCGCCGACAAAAUUUUUCGAAGAAUAAGCGAAAGAACCGUUAGAAACGCAACUUGCGUCUCUAACGGUUCUCUCUCGUUUAUUCUUCAAAAACUACAGAACUACGAAACGAAAAUUCAAAAAGUGGGACACACUUUCUUGAAAUAUUAUAAUACUGAUAUCCGAAUAUCGAGAUAUAUGCUAAUUAGAUCUGUAGUCUGACUGUUAUACCAAAAAAAGGACAUUCUUAUUUGGACAAUAUCUUCAUUCUUGAUAUGUCAAUCUUCGAAUGAGAUUAUGGCGUUAAACAAAGGUGAGUUACUUGCCAAAAUAUAUUUUAUAUAAAUAUAUAUAUUUAUAUAUAUAUUUCAUAUAUAUUCAUAUGAAUAUAUAUAUUCAUAUAUUCAUAUAUAUAUUCAUAUAUAUAUUCAUAUAAAUAUUCAACGAAGAAAAACCUUGUGUUCUUAUUACUCCAAAAUAAUUUUUAUUAUUAGAAAGCACAAAAUAUUAGAUUGGGAAUAUAAUAUUUUUAAAUAUAUAUUAUGCUCUAGAUUCCUCCAUCCAUUUAAAAUUAAUAUAUUCAAAUUAACAAUUAUUGUUUCACGUAUAAGUGACGAUUAUAAUUCUGUUAGAAGGAUUUUUAAAUUUUAAAUUUCAAUAAUAUUAUUAUUUUAUUUGAACAUUGUAACAAUCUCAUAAGAUAUACAAUAUGAUUAUUUUGAUAAUAAAGAUAUUUUCUACCGAUAUUUAAAAACCAUAUUCUCAACUCAAUAUUUUUUAUGUGUUUCCAAUAAUGAAAAUUAUUUUUGGAUAAUAAUAACACAGAUUUUUUUCGUUGAAUUAUAUAAAAUAUAUUCUGGACUAAAAAAAGUGAGUUACUCUAAGAUUUAAUUUUGAAGUUUUAAUUUAAAUCUUAAAUUGUCUCUCCAGUUGAAUCGCGAUAUACGUGACGUUAUAUCUAUAAUCGUAAUUUAACAGAAAAACUCACAUAUAAUAAAUAAUUCAAAUAUAAAUAUCUUAUUUAAGUCAAGAAACGUCUCAGUAAGACUCUCACAUCAUCAAUUUCCCGAAAUAUUGAAACUGUCUGGUUGUAUGCACACAUAUAUAUACACAGCCGAAUGCAUUAGUAUCUAUUUAUUUGAGUUUAACAAAUAAUGUACUUAAAUAGGUUGAUAUUAAUACUCUUGUAUGUAUAUAUACUGUUUUCGGAAUAAUAAUUCUUUUUUUAAACAAUUGUAUAUUUCGGGAACAUUGGAUCUUGAAGUAUUGUCACGAUAUUCGGAUUUCAGUAUUUUCGAGAAAUUGUCCUAGUUUCCGAAUUUCGAGAUAUCGAUUUUUCGGGACAAUGAAUGUCCCGAAAACAAACAAUGAACUAAGGACUCAAAUAUGGACAGCACUGUCUGGACAUGUCAAUCUGAUAGAGAUAAUAUUGGUUUUUAGUUUAUAUUGCACUAUAAAAAUUGCACACAGGCUCUCAUUGACAUUUUUAACCGACUUAAAUUAAAAGGUGAUUUUGUUCUGUAUGUUUAUUUGUUUGUUUGCAUGUUUUCUCAGAACACACUCGAGAAUUAUAAGAGAUAUUGAAAUGAAUUUUUCUAAUUUGUUUAGUUACAAGUUACAGUUAUAAAUGUUAUCUACAAAUCUUAGAUUAGUGUUGCUACACGAAUUUGUCCAGACAAUUUGAAAUUUAGAUAAUCCCAUUACUUUCUUGUAAGACCUGAGAACAUGUAGAGAUACAAAACGAAAUUUUUAUUGAUUUUUAUUAGAGUAUAGUAAAUAAUUAAACAGUAUAAUAUUAAUAGAGUAAUUUUAUAUUAAUA